UGAUAAUUUGGCAGAAUAAUGCGUUUGAUUUAGGUUCAAAUUAUAACAAAUGUUAAUUAUUAA
rnacentral:tRNA from 1 species